GACGAACGCUGGCGGCGUGCCUAACACAUGCAAGUCGAACGGAACUGUUUUGAAAGAUUUCUUCGGAAUGAAUUUGAUUUAGUUUAGUGGCGGACGGGUGAGUAACGCGUGAGUAACCUGCCUUCAAGAGGGGAAUAACAUUCUGAAAAGAAUGCUAAUACCGCAUGACAUAUCGGAACCACAUGGUUUUGAUAUCAAAGAUUUUAUCGCUUGAAGAUGGACUCGCGUCCGAUUAGUUAGUUGGUGAGGUAACGGCUCACCAAGACCGCGAUCGGUAGCCCGACUGAGAGGUUGAACGGCCACAUUGGGACUGAGACACGGCCCAGACUCCUACGGGAGGCAGCAGUGGGGGAUAUUGCGCAAUGGGGGCAACCCUGACGCAGCAACGCCGCGUGAAGGAUGAAGGUUUUCGGAUUGUAAACUUCUUUUAUUAAGGACGAAAAAUGACGGUACUUAAUGAAUAAGCUCCGGCUAACUACGUG
rnacentral:rRNA from 1 species